rnacentral:misc_RNA from 1 species
AAAAAUUCGCCAUUGAUUGGCGAAGCAAUGUGUCGCUUGUUUUAAAGGAAGAACUGUCUCGACUCUAGAUCACCGCUAGUAGAGUCUUUGCCUUUGGUUGGAGAAGAUGAAAAAGCCGAAUCGCCGAUCGAAGCGAACAAGCACUGCCGAUUCCUCGUCAUCACCAGCCACUGGUGAUGAUAAGCCACAAGAGCAGCAGCAGCUUAGUGAGAAGAGAGUUGAUGAUUUGGAGAAAGAAAACGAAGCUCUUAAGAGGGUGAUCGAGGAACUGAAGCACAAGCUACCUAAUGUUUCACCCACUUCGGUUGAUGACCUUCGAAAGACGAAGGAAGAUGAUGAUUCUCAAAAGUUGCAUGUCCUGGAGAAACAGGUUAUGGAAAUGAAGAAGAGACUGGGCGGACGUUCCCAGCUUUCAGCACAAAAGCGAAACUCAUCACCAAAACAGAAAUAUGGUGAGGCAUGGGUCUUAACUCAGGAUGAAAUUCAGAGAUUAAAGGCUCAAAAGGUCCAUCUUCUUUGCAAGAUCAAGCUAGAGUCUGUGCAGUUCAGGCUGUCAAAGGCUUCGUUGGAGAAAGAAGUUCUUCAGCUUAAGAAAGAGCAAAGGAGGAAUAAUUAUGAAAUGCGUAAGCUGCUGGCUCUAAAUGAGAAACAGAAGCUGGUAUUGCAGCGAAAGACAGAAGAAGCUGCUAUGGCUACUAAACGGCUAAAAGAGCUAAUAGAAUCACGAAAGGCUUCCUCUCACAAAACUUCUGGUUCUAAAAGCGGCAGCGGUUCUCGAAUUCAGGCAAUAGAGCUGGAGCUCAAAAUUGCAGCAAGGGUGGAGGAAAUACGCUCUGAAUAUGACCGUCAAAUGGAAGAGAUGGCUGAUGAGGUUAGAAAGUUCGAGGAAGAAGCAGAAACACUAAGGCAAGAAAAUUUUAGGUACCUGUUACAGGAAAAAGAAGUUGACAGCAAAGUGAGGGAUUCAGAGCUGAGAGACCUGAAGGAAGAAGUAGUCAGGCUAAGUAAUUUGAUUAAUCAACUGGGAAUGCCAAAGGCACAAGUUCAUGCAAAGAAGCAAGACGUGGAUCUCGUUAGAUCUUCUGUUUCUGUUGGAAGCAGUAUUGAGUUUAUGGACACGCCUGAAUCUGAAUGUUCUGGAGGAAGUAAUGCUAUGUCGGGGAAAUUUACACCAAGGGUAUGCUGUUCUUGCAGUAAAAAAUCCCUGUGCAAGACAUCAAAAUGCGAAUGUCGGGCUGCAGCUAGCGGCUGUGGGACAGGAUGUGGUUGUGCGGCCUCUAAGUGCAGUAACAGAGGAGUUCUCUCUAUCAAGGUGGAUGACUCGCUGCAACAAAAGGUGGCUAGUGACUUGGUGCAUGUUUCAGACACCUCAGAAACUGAGAAAGCCAUUGUCACUUCUCAACCUGCUGAGGUUAACAAUGGUUGUGCACGGAUAAGGAAGCCUUUGUCUGAAAUUGGAAAUACUCUUGUCAUUUCCAGUCCUAUAAAACCUGACCAGAAAAUGAGAGGGAACAUAACAGUUACCCUGGUUGAUAUUGUAGAUCCGUCUUUUUCAGUGCCUGAAAUUGCUGAAAGUCCAAAAAAAAAACAUACAAAGCUUAUCAGGCAAAUAUUCCUACAAGGUUAACCAAGGGCCAAGCGAUCAGCAGUCCCAAAAACAGAUACUUAAACAGUGAAGGCGGUGCUUAAUAAAUUUGUUGUAAAACACCUGGUGUGCCUGCUCUAAGAAGUUCAGUUCUACAGUUUAGAACAUUAAAUGAGAAUAGUGGCUUUUACGUUGAAUGUUGAGAUGUAUAGAGUUCAUCAUGGACUGAAAAUUGAGAUAAUAGGGAUACAACAGGAGGGAUUGUUUAACCUCUUUAUAAGAUGGCAAGCGGAUGCCAAUAAAAAAAAUGGUGUUAACAGUUGAACUUCCAUGCUUUUACGAGUGACUUAUUUUGAACCAUUGCUUUGUGAAAUUGGGUUGUUGGUUACGUGGUGUUUGUAGACAUUUUAGACAUGCCUGCUGUGCAUAAUUAGGUAAAGUUGAUUUUGGCUUGUCAAUAACCAUUCUUGUCUGCCCUGUUCUCUUUCUGUAGAGCAGUUUAAUGGGAAAUCUCUUUCGUUUCUCCUUUAGUUUACAGGCUGCUUGUAUUGCUUCCUUUCAAGCGUUAAGAAACAGAGAAGUACUUUGUAUAACUAGAAUUAGCUUGUGUAACAACCCAGAAAAUAAAUU